rnacentral:SRP_RNA from 1 species
CCGUGCUAGGUGGGGAGGUAGCGGUUACCUGUACUCGAAAUCCGCUUUAUGCGAGACUUAAUUCCUUUGUUGAGGACGUAUUUUUGUGAAGUCUGCCCGAAGCACGUAGUGUUUGAAGAUUUCGGUCCUAUGCAAUAUGAACCCAUGAACCAUGUCAGGUCCUGACGGAAGCAGCAUUAAGUGGAUCCUCAUAUGUGCCGUAGGGUAGCCGAGAUUUAGCUGUCGACUUCGGUAACGUUUAUGAUAUGCGUUCGAUACAAAGGUGCAUGG